GCUGAAGUAGCUCAGUUGGAAGAGCAGCUGAUUCGUAAUCAGCAGGUCGUGAGUUCAAGUCUCAUCUUCAGCU
rnacentral:tRNA from 1 species